GACGAACGCUGGCGGCGUGCCUAAUACAUGCAAGUAGGACGCUGAAGGAGGAGCUUGCUUCUCUGGAUGAGUUGCGAACGGGUGAGUAACGCGUAGGUAACCUGCCUGGUAGCGGGGGAUAACUAUUGGAAACGAUAGCUAAUACCGCAUAAUAGUAGAUGUUGCAUGACAUUUGCUUAAAAGGUGCAAUUGCAUCACUACCAGAUGGACCUGCGUUGUAUUAGCUAGUUGGUGGGGUAACGGCUCACCAAGGCGGCGAUACAUAGCCGACCUGAGAGGGUGAUCGGCCACACUGGGACUGGGACACGGCCCAGACUCCUACGGGAGGCAGCAGUAGGGAAUCUUCGGCAAUGGACGGAAGUCUGACCGAGCAACGCCGCGUGAGUGAAGAAGGUUUUCGGAUCGUAAAGCUCUGUUGUAAGAGAAGAACGAGUGUGAGAGUGGAAAGUUCACACUGUGACGGUAUCUUACCAGAAAGGGACGGCUAACUACGUG
rnacentral:rRNA from 1 species